rnacentral:rRNA from 1 species
CAGUCGCCGCGGGAAUACAGAGGGUGCGAGCGUUAAUCGGAUUUACUGGGCGUAAAGCGUGCGUAGGCGGCUUCUUAAGUCGGAUGUGAAAUCCCUGAGCUUAACUUAGGAAUUGCAUUCGAUACUGGGAAGCUAGAGUAUGGGAGAGGAUGGUAGAAUUCCAGGUGUAGCGGUGAAAUGCGUAGAGAUCUGGAGGAUACCGAUGGCGAAGGCAGCCAUCUGGCCUAAUACUGACGCUGAGGUACGAAAGCAUGGGGAGCAAACAGGAUUAGAGACCCGCGUAGUCCCUGUCUCUUAUCAC